UACGUAGGGUCCGAGCGUUGUCCGGAAUUAUUGGGCGUAAAGGGCUCGUAGGCGGUUUGUCGCGUCGGGAGUGAAAACACGGGGCUUAACCCCGUGCCUGCUUCCGAUACGGGCAGACUAGAGGUAUGCAGGGGAGAACGGAAUUCCAGGUGUAGCGGUGAAAUGCGUAGAGAUCUGGAGGAACACCGAUGGCGAAGGCAGCCUUCUGGGCCAACACUGACGCUCAUGCACGAAAGCGUGGGGAGCAAACAGG
rnacentral:rRNA from 1 species